ensembl:lincRNA Gm10655 predicted gene 10655
CCGGCGAGGGGGAAGUCUGAGAACUCUGGCUUGGCGGGCCGCGCAGAUGGAAGGGCCUGGCAGUCUGCGGACAACAGGCUCAGUAGUGCGGCUAGCCCCAUUUGGGGCUCUUGCCCUUUGGGGACAGCUACGUCCUGGCCGCAGCCUUGCCAAGGCGGGUUCCUCAGCAGUGCUCCGGGCCCGAGAUGGUGAAGAAGGGAAAGCACGGAGUUGGGGCCCUCCUGGCUACGACCCAGAGUUCCGACCCCGUUUCUUGGCCUGAUGGCCUGCCUGGGCACAUGCAUCGGCAGCCACCCGUGGAAGAGCGACUGCGAGCCUGGAGCGUCCCUGGUCACCAGCAUAGACACCCAAGGAGGCGUAGAUAUUCGACUCUGGGGCCCAUCUGCUCGCAGACAAGGGUCACGUCAGGGCACACUGCCCACCCUAGGUCCGCGGGCCUCGGAGAACCAACGCCGAGUGGGCCGCCCAGGUGUCCUCGGGUCCCUCCCGGCUUUCCCACCAAGCUUGCACGCAAGCACACGCUCCUGGCCCGUUGCGGGCGCGCGCGAGCCGGCCGCGCGCCCCCGGAAUCUAUAUUUUCCCCUCAUUAGGAGCCUGAGUUUCGCGUUUGCAUCUUAAUGAGUAGCUGGGAGCGCGCGGGGACCUCCACGUGAGCGGCCGCCCCGAGAUGGAGCCUCUCAGCGCCCGCUCCGGCCUCGACCACGCUCCCCUCUUCAUUUAUUUAUUCUCCUAAAUAAAAACAUAAAUCGU